rnacentral:lncRNA from 1 species
GUUUUUUUAGUUUUUAAUUAAAUAAAAUGUUAGUUUGUUAGUAACUUAGAACUAGACCUAUAUCUGUAGUCAACAUAUCACAGUCACUCAAUCAAAGAAUUGAUAGGACAGAAGAUGUUAGUAAUACCAACCAGACUUAACCUAAACAUUCUGAUAUCUCCAUUCCCACAAGAAAGAAAGUGUGGGGAUAGACAUACCACCGACACACCUCAGCCAUCGGGAAAAACCAAUGGAAGUACGUUAUUGGAGAAAAACCAACAGCUGAAGUGCACCAGAGGAAGCAGUUUUCCUGGAAAUAAGAAUCCAUUCAUACUAACACAUUCACUCUAUGCCACUGGCAUUAUAUCUGUUUUUAACCAGAGGUAAACAAUUGGAGACAUGCUAGAAUUAAAAGAAAACUACUGAACAAUCAAAAAUAUAAGAAAUAGUCAUGAGAAUCACCCAAAAACUGCUGGAAACAUAAAAAAAAAAAAAAACAAAAGCAGAAAUGCAAAUCAAAUCAAAUAGUUCAGGGAAACAAUAAGGAACACAGUGGGAACAAACAACUAGCCCCAGAUAAGCCAAACCAAUUGAAGAAACAAAUGGAAAUACCACAAAACUUUGUGGUAUUUCCACCUGUUUCUGUGACAGUGUCAUAUUUAUGUAUUGUCAUCUGUGAAAAGAUCAAUGAAUGGCAACAAAAUGACCAUCCUGCUAACAAAGAUGGGUUGUAAUUUUUAACUAUUUCACAGAUUAACACAUAUUGUUUAAAAAUAUUUAAAAAAUCAUCAAAUUUUACUUCUGUCUCCCCAGAUCUAAUGCCUCUGCUGAAUGGGUA